rnacentral:rRNA from 1 species
CGUCAGUAUUCAGCUGUCAGAGGUGAAAUUCUUGGAUUUGCUGAAGACUAACUACUGCGAAAGCAUUCGCCAAGGAUGUUUUCAUUAAUCAGGGAACGAAAGUUAGGGGAUCGAAGACGAUCAGAUACCGUCGUAGUCUUAACCAUAAACUAUGCCGACUAGGGAUCGGACGGGAUUCUAUGAUGACCCGUUCGGCACCUUACGAGAAAUCAAAGUUUUUGGGUUCUGGGGGGAGUAUGGUCGCAAGGCUGAAACUUAAAGAAAUUGACGGAAGGGC